rnacentral:lncRNA from 1 species
UCAGGGAGCGAAAGUGGAAGGAAAAGAGAGAAUAAAACGCCAAAUAAGUCCCUUCCUAUGACUGCAUUCAUGAACAGUAAUGUGCAGGGUGUCAACAACUCCAUUCUCCACAAUGCUUCUUGCACUCACCAUGAUCCUGGUGUCCACCUUGUUUUUGCAAGAAAGACCAAUGGUAGGCAUGGGUUCCACAUUAAGGGCAGUCCAAAGAGCUAAAAUAUGUUUAAAAGACAGUCAAACACUCAGAGUCUUUUUCAUGGAGGGUCCUUUUUUUCUAUUGGUAUUUUGAAAGAAUAAAUUGAGUGGUACGAAAAAGGGCAUGGAUUCUGAUUCUUCAUGCAUGGCUGCAACCCACUUCUCAUGCACGAGAAUCAUCCUUGCCUUUGGAAGGACAGAGAGAAUCUAUGCACAAUGCCACUACAUGCAAUAAACCUUUCUUAUGUAUUGAGCAUUAUUAUUGUUCUAUGUAAUUUGUAACUCCAAUAUACAGAGAAUUCCCCAUCUCUUUAUUAAUUUGGAUAUAUUUAGUAAAUAUUGAAUACCAGCUUUUAAGAUAACAAACAAUGGGAACUGGAUGAAUAAUACUAACAGGCUGUAUUACCUUGUAAAUGAAUGUUACAGGGAAUAGAUGACCAUCCCUUUUUUAAAUUUCGCAUGUGAAGAUGGAUUUCAGGUAGAAUGUGUACACACGCUUAUUUUCUGCUCAUGCAUUUAUUUUCACAUAUUCCUAUCGUAUUUGGUAUACUGAAAAAGCAUAGCAACUACUACAUAUCAAGAGAAUCUGUUUUUUGGUUCGUAAUUUGGGACCAUUAGAUAUACAAUUAAACAUGAAGAUCAUUGAAGUCCGUCACUUUAUGGUCAAAUGUUCAUGUAUGAUUUUGUAACUUUAGUUUUUAAUUAGACUGAAAUGAAUAAUAACACAUUCAAACACUUGCAUAUGAAUAUCUAUUUAUUUGCUUUUGAGCUUAGUAAAUCCAAAAGGGGAUUUCUAAAAAAAGAACUACCAACUAGAAAGCGUUUUGUGUAACUAAAGGCCAGUAAUUAGCAGGUCUAAGCAAUAGGUAUAUAAUUGUAAACAAAGCAAGAAAAUAGGACGCAAAUAACCAAUUGCUGAAGAAGACGAAGAGUCCAAUUAUUACCUGCAAAAUCAUUUGUCUAAGGAUAGAGGCGCUGGGUUGAACAAAUUGUCAAAUCGCAAGUGGAAAUUGCUAAGGCGUUCUGAGAUACUACAUUCAUAGAUACACGACGUUAAUUCUUAGGGUUUAGUAACGAUCGAUUGUAUCCAUAUAACGCCUCUCCCAUCUUCUGGCUGCAAGGAAAUUAUUCCGGCAAGGACCUGCAGUGUCUGAAACUUCAUCUUCGUUCUAAGGAGAAGAGGUUAAAUAAGGAGUGAAAAAGGGAAGUUGAAGGGUGGUGUUAAUGGCGCACGGCCGAAAAGGGAAUGGAGAAAACGGUGACCGGCCGACAAUUGAUUUUGGGGCUGUUUGGUUUAUCGAUUUUGGGUUUGGGUUGCUGCAAUGAAGGGAUCUUUUUCUUAUAUAUAACUAUUAUUUAUCAUUUUCUUCAUAGUUU